GACGAACGCUGGCGGCGUGCCUAAUACAUGCAAGUCGAACGCACGAAGUUGAAGAGCUUGCUCUUUAACCAAGUGAGUGGCGGACGGGUGAGUAACACGUGGGUAACCUGCCCAUUAGAGGGGGAUAACAUUCGGAGACGGAUGCUAAUACCGCAUAGUUUCAGGGAUCGCAUGAUUCUUGAAGGAAAGGUGGCUUCGGCUACCACUAAUGGAUGGACCCGCGGCGUAUUAGCUAGUUGGUGAGGUAAUGGCUCACCAAGGCAAUGAUACGUAGCCGACCUGAGAGGGUGAUCGGCCACACUGGGACUGAGACACGGCCCAGACUCCUACGGGAGGCAGCAGUAGGGAAUCUUCCGCAAUGGACGAAAGUCUGACGGAGCAACGCCGCGUGAGUGAAGAAGGUUUUCGGAUCGUAAAACUCUGUUGUUAAAGAAGAACAAGGAUGAGAGUAACUGCUCAUCCCCUGACGGUAUUUAACCAGAAAGCCACGGCUAACUACGUGCCAGCAGCCGCGGUAAUACGUAGGUGGCAAGCGUUGUCCGGAUUUAUUGGGCGUAAAGCGAGUGCAGGCGGUUCUUUAAGUCUGAUGUGAAAGCCCCCGGCUCAACCGGGGAGGGUCAUUGGAAACUGGAGAACUUGAGUGCAGAAGGGAGAGUGGAAUUCCACGUGUAGCGGUGAAAUGCGUAGAUAUGUGGAGGAACACCAGUGGCGAAGGCGACUCUCUGGUCUGUAACUGACGCUCAGGCUCGAAAGCUGGGGGGCAAACAGG
rnacentral:rRNA from 1 species